UGAGACACCAGUUCUUAUAUGAUCUCCAAAGUUAAGCAAUGUUGAGCCUGGUCAGUACCUAGAUAGGUGACCAUUUGGGAAUGCCAAUUGUUGCAA